rnacentral:misc_RNA from 1 species
GAAACGCGAUAUGUAAUACGAAUUGCAGAAUUCAGUGAGUCAUCGAAUCUUUGAACGCACAUUGCGCCCGCCAGCAUUCUGGCGGGCAUGCUUGUUCGAGCGUCCUCAAAAACCCUCGGGCCCUGCAGACUUAGGUCUCCAGCGGCCCGGUGUUGGGAUGCCGCGGCUGCCGCGGCCCCCUAAAUCCAGUGGCGGACCACGCGGCGAUCUUGGCUUAGUAAAUAACCUAGUCUUCGGUCGCCGGGCGGGCCCUGCCCCUAGAACCAUCUUAUCAAUUUGGACCUCGAAUCAAGUAGGAAUACCCGCUGAACUUAA